rnacentral:lncRNA from 1 species
CUUAAGCGAUUACAUUAGGAUCACACAAUCAAUUACCUCCUGAAUGUAUUGUCUCUAUUUUCAAUAAUUAAACACACAAAAAAACUAUAAUCUCCUCCUUCACCUUAUCGGUCUCUUCCUUACAGCAAUUCAAUCAUGCCAAUAACUACUAUUUUUACCAAUAUAUUUGCCUUCAUAAUCUCCAACUGUAAUACUACGCCUUUACAGCUUUCACCACCCAAUUACCCUCAUUCUAUCACUGGAAUUCUUCACACAAAAUUGUCAUUCACAUUACGGUGUUUCACACAAAAACAGACUCAUUUUCUCUGCUGAACUACAAUCAGAUUUCAGCAUUCAAUCUUUCUUCUUCUCAAAUAAUACCAAUCACAUUUCCAUUCCAUAAUUCACUUCACAAUAUUCAGAAACUCUCAAUCCUCUUAUUCAAAGAAAAUAAAAAACAAAAGAAAAGAGGUAGCACCAAGCUUACCCCGGCUCACAACUAUCACAGCGAUGGCACCUUAAUUAUUUUCUACAACUCCUAUAUACUUUCCACUGAUUCUCCAGAUUCUAACCGUAAUACUAUAAUUAAAUACUUUUAAUAACUAAAUCACUCAUCGGUCCUCUUGAAUUUCCUAUUAUAUGGACUAUUAAUAUAUUUUAUCAA